GGGCGUAAGGGUGUGUAGGUGGCGUGUUUAGUCUUCUGUUAAAAUCUUGGGCUCAACCCAAGUCUUGCAGAGGAAACGGGCAUGCUAGAGGUUGCGAGGGGUCUAGGGAACUCAUGGAGUAGGGGUGAAAUCCGUUGAUAUCAUGGGGAACACCAAAAGCGAAGGCACUAGACUGGCGCACACCUGACACUGAGACACGAAAGCGUGGGUAGCGAACGGGAUUAGAUACCCCGGUAGUCCACGCCCUAAACGAUCUUCACUAGCUUUCGGGGGAAUCGACCCCCUCGGAGGCGAAGCUAACGCGUUAAGUGAAGCGCCUGGGUAGUACGGCCGCAAGGCUAAAACUCAAAGGAAUAGACGGGGACUUGCACAAGCAGUGGAUUAUGCGGUUCAAUUCGACGACAAACGAAAAACCUUACCAAGGUUAGAAAUCUACACGACGAUAUUUGGAAACAGAUAUCUUCCGCAAGGACGGGUAGACAGGUGAUGCAUGGCCGUCGUCAGUUCGUGAUUUGAAUUGUUCCCUUAAGUGGGGUAACGAACGCAACCCUCGUUGCUAGUUUUAUUUGUCUAGCGAGACUGCCCCCGUUUGUGUGCACAAGAUUUGCGCAUACAAACGGG
rnacentral:rRNA from 1 species